UUACUGUCCCUGGAAGCUGCAGGAACAAUGGUGUCAAAUGUCUUGCACAGUGGCGGGGCCGGGGCCUCACACAAUGUCUGCUUUUCAGAAACGGCGUGCAACACCCAGCAAGCGGCCGCACAGGGCCGCCCGGUACCAGCUCGUGUUAGCUACUAUUUUUUAAGGAUAAAAAUAACUUAAAAGCUCUUCAAGCGAGAAACUAUUCAGUAAAAUACUUUCAAAAAGCCUCAGGCAGUAACACGAUUUUCCAGAUUAGGGGAAGGUGAUGUAAUAAUUAGACAAAUGGGAAGAAGGAUGCUCCGAGGUAUCAUUUAUAAAACUGGCCUCGGAGGACUCCCUCCAACCGCACUGGAUAUACAACCAAGCUACUCCCAGAUAUACAUUGCUUUAGAAAAGAAUGCAUACUAACAUUUAAAUGCCUUGUUUUUCUUUCAGGAAACAUUUUGAGAAAAUGUAUCAGUCAAAGAAUCAGAUAUUAUUUACAUUUUAUAAGGCCUAUCAGAAGGAAGCAAUUGAAAUAUUUCCCAUCUAUGCAUCCAGAGGAGGAAGAGACUUUUAAAGGGACAAGUUGGGAUAGAUUCUUGUGAGUCAGUCUUGGGUUAUUUCUGAGGGGUGCUGGCUACCAUGGCAUCUAAAAGCUGUAAAUAAGUGCUGUGGCCUGCAGGGCACCCCGCAGACCUGCUGGUGACCCUGCCCUGCUCCUGCUGCAAUCACUGGAGGCCAGUGUGACACUCACAGCAGCGUGGACAUGGGUUGCAAGGUCCUUUUUGGUCUGAACCUCUACAAACACCCAAAUGCAGUGCAUGAAAUGUUUUCA